rnacentral:rRNA from 1 species
AACGAACGCUGGCGGCAUGCCUAACACAUGCAAGUCGAACGAACCCUUCGGGGUUAGUGGCGCACGGGUGCGUAACGCGUGGGAAUCUGCCCUUUGCUUCGGAAUAACUCAGGGAAACUUGUGCUAAUACCGGAUGAUGUCUUCGGACCAAAGAUUUAUCGGCAAGGGAUGAGCCCGCGUAGGAUUAGGUAGUUGGUGGGGUAAAGGCCUACCAAGCCGACGAUCCUUAGCUGGUCUGAGAGGAUGAUCAGCCACACUGGGACUGAGACACGGCCCAGACUCCUACGGGAGGCGGCAGUGGGGAAUAUUGGACAAUGGGCGCAAGCCUGAUCCAGCAAUGCCGCGUGAGUGAUGAAGGCCCUCGGGUCGUAAAGCUCUUUUACCAGGGAUGAUAAUGACAGUACCUGGAGAAUAAGCGCCGGCUAACUCCGUG